CGGAGCUGUGAGCAAGGACCCUCUCCAAGGGAUCCCUGUGGGGACAGCAGCCAGUGCCAGGGGGUCACCACAACCUCUGCCCUUCAUUUCCCGAGGGUGUUUAGGCACCCCACUUCCCAGCCCUGGAACAGCCUCCCGUGACAUCUCUCCUUGCCCAGAAUAACCAUCCCCACCGGCAGCCAAACAAAAAGCCUUGGAGGGACGGGGGAGGAGGGGAGUCCGAGGGGGUUUGGCCACAAUCCCCAGCUCCCCGGGGCAGGCAGGGCCAGGCUGGCAGCACCGGGGCUUCUCCAGGAGCUGAGCAUCCCGCGGGGACCCCCACGGGAGGGCGAGGAAGGCGAUGCCAAGUGGGAUUUCUGAGGUAUGGAGGGGAUCGUGCUGCACCCCACAAUCCAGCUCUGGGGUACACCCUCAGUACACCCCGCCCCAAAUCCUUGCCCUGAACACCCAGGAGCUGGGGCUUUUCAGGUGCCUGUCGCUAUGGAAACCCCUUCAUGCCGCGCUGGUCCAGGCUGAGCCUGCCGGAGAUGUGCCUGCCCGAGGGAGCUCAGGGAGGAUUCAGAGCUGCUGCAGGAGAGCUGGGCACUGCAGGAACACCACGGCCAGCCUGACCCAGCAGCAUGGGGCUGCUUCAAAGCCAAGGUUGCCAGAAGGGCAUUUUCCAGCCUGUAGGAAAAGCAAAACCCUGGAAAACUGCAAUGAAAAAGCCACUUGGACCAGCACAGCAAGAAAUGUUGGGGAGAGGAUCCUGCCCAGCAAAGAUCAGCCCUUUGCCAGCAGGAGCAGCACAGUUUUCCCCAAGGUUUCCAGGUGCAAGGAGCUGCUGUUGCUGGAGUGUUUGCAAGUGGGAAAGGAGGAAGAAGAGCAGCAGCAGCAGCACCAGACUCUGGUGGCUUCCCCCGCGGUGGCCCGAGGGAGGGAAGGAGGUGUCCUCAGAGGUGGUGCUGUUUGGACAAUCCUCUCUCAGGUACAGGGAUGGGACUCCUGGGGACAUGCAGGGUUAGGAGAUGUAUUGGAUGAUCCUUGUGGGCUCCUCCCAACUCAGCUUAUUCUGGGAUUUUGUAGCAGGAAAAAAAAAACAUACUUAAAUAAUAUAGAAUUACAGGACAACACGGGGUCAGUCAAGAGAUGCACCCAUUUCCUGUCAAACAUCUCUUACAGAGAGAGCACAAACAGACCCUGCUGGUGCGGAUCCGUGGCAUUCCGAGGGGCCCAGUGAGCUCCAUCCCAGCAGCAAGGAGCAGGAGACACUUGUCCUUCUUGGAGGCAUCAAGAUCAGACUGAACAAACCACUCUAAGAUGGGAAAUGUUGAAUUGUGCCUGCUGACACAGAGCUGAACAUCCCCUUUUUGCUCUCAACUCUUCUCCCAGCACCAUCAGGGAUGCAGAAGGAUCAAGGCUGGAACACUUUUCCCACCUGACAGUGAGAUUGCACUCCCUCCCCACUCAUCAACCCCAAAUAUUACUGGCUCCCAUCUGAGUCAGACACCGAGAGGCCACUGAGCACAACCCUGAACAGAUGUUUGAAGCACAGAAGAGCCGUCAUGUGGUGAAGGACAGACUAUGUGCACACAAAAAGGAUGUAGGGUGAGCUGUUGAUGCUGAGAGCUGGCUGACCACUGUCCAGCACAGCUCCUGCGCUCAGCUGGUGCUCUCCAUCGCCAUCCAAACUCCACUGGUUAUCCCACAGAAAGAUGAGGAUGGGUUUUGGUCCUGUUUUUGUAUCCCCUUCUGUUUGUACAUCCUCCCCCCAAGGAAUUUCAGCUGGUCUGGCUUUGUUCUGGUCUGUGGUUGGUCUGAGGUUAUCCUGGGAGAGCAUCACUCAACCAGGGCUGCACAAACACUCUGGGGAAGAGAAAGCUCAGGUCACAGAGGAAAUAUUAAACACAGUUUUUGUGUUGAAAGGAAAGGGCUUUGCUCCCUCACGAAGGUAAAUCCUGAGUUGCAGGGUGAGGAGGAGAAGGAAAUUUGCACAUCAAGGCCUUCCCAUCAAUGAAGGCUCCUCCAGCCCCGUGGCUGGGCUGUCACUGCCUGUUUGCCUUCUC
rnacentral:lncRNA from 1 species